ACAAAUACAUCAUAUUUAGGAGAAUGCGGGAUAUGGGGAAUGGGAGAAGACGACAGUCCAGGGGUAACCGGUUGUUGCUGCUUAACAGUAGAGGCCUAUUGUUGCCCAUUGUCCCUGGUUUUAAUCCAAGCCUAUUACAGAAUACUGCAGUGAGAUUAUCCAUUCUCAGCCUAUUGAGCUGCAUUAAAUUAGAAUGGGAGGCUGUAAGUAAAACUCAUGCCUCUUGGCCAGGCAUUCUGCACCAGUGUGUCCCUCUGUGGCUUGCUGGUCCUGGCUUCUUUGUUCUCAGACCGGCGGCUGAACUGCACUUGGCUUGGAGCAUACUGAAGCCUGCAGCCAGGGACAACACCAUUGAAUCAGAUGGAGGGGGUUGAAAAGGCAGAGAAGGGGGCAUGUGGCUGGCUAUUCUUGCUCUCUGGAGAACAGCUUCAUUGUUAGUAGUAAGGCUGAAGGUGGACUUCCCGCUGCUGAACCACCCAAGAGGCACACUGAGUGAGUCUCUGCAUUAGUAAUGGGUGAGCCUCAUAAGAAUAAUGUUUUAAAAAGGGAGGACUUGAAGUAGCUAUGGGAAAAUUUAGAACUUUGCACCUUGUUAUGCUUAUUUAUGGUUUAAUGUUGAUGCCAUUUGGAGUGACUUAGGGCUUGGACCCAUAAUCUUUUUAUUAUUAAGGUCUCAAUCUGGCUCUCGUUAAUAAACUUUUUCCACUUCAACCGUUAGAAAAAUGAUCCAAGUCUCCUCAGGCUUUUGGAUACUGAAUUGUUAUAAAACACAUCAAUUCUGCCAGUUUAUAAAACAUUGGAAUUGUAUUUAGACAUGUCUGAGUACAUACUUGUUUAUAGACUCAAAACAUGAUGAAAAUUCAUUUCAGUGUCUUCACAGAAUAGGCUUAACCUUGACAGUAAGCUUAAAAAUAAAGCAUUAAUGUCAUUUAGGUACAUGUCUGAGGAUUUUAUACUAAUUAGAUUUUGGGCUUUUGCAAUGCAUUUUAGUUGGGGCCUCAUUCCUGAGCCCAAGUGACCCUUUCACCUCAGCUUCCUGAGUAGCUGGGAUUAUAGGUGCACACCAACCGUGCUUUGCAGUUUCGUGUGUGUGUGUGUGUAUUUUUUUUUUUUUUUCACAAGCACACACAUCAUAGCUUUGCAGUUUUUAACCAGGAGCUGGUGGAGAUCUUUGAAACCAUUUAAUCCAAUUCUCUUAGUUACAUUUAUGAUGAAACUGGGGAUCUACCUUAAAAUUUGGGGAAGCUCUUUCAAAACUUCAAACACCUAGAAAUAUAUAGUGCAAUUCAGUUUUAGUUUCUGCAGCAUGGUUUGGAAACAAAAGAUACAUGGGAUUUAAACUUGAUUUGUUUUCUUCUUACAGUAGAAGUAAAUGCUCUUGUGGGUUGAAUUGCAUCUUCCAAGGAAGAUAUGUUCACAUUCAAACCCCCAGUACUGUACAUGUAACCUUAUUUGGAAAUAGGGUCUUUUUAGAUGCAAUCAAGUUAGAAUUAGGUCAUACUGGAUUACAGUGGGCCUUAACCCAAUAACUAGUUUUUUUGGUUAAAAAAAAAAAAGGAAAUGUGAACAGAGAGACAGAGAAUGCUGUGAGAUGAUGGAGGGAUAGAUUGGAAUGAUGUCUACAAGCUAAGGAAUACUGAGGAUUGCUGCCAGCCAUCCAAAGCUGGGAGAGAAGAUGGAACAACUCCCUUGGAGCCUGCAAGAAGAACCAACUCCACUGAUGCUUUGAUUUGGGAUUUCUGACCGGAACUGGAGGAAAAUAAAUUUAUGUUCUUUUAAGCCAGUUUUACUAACUUGUUAUGGCAGCUGCAGGAAAUUAAUAAAUGCUAAUGUUGAAAAUUAAAA
ensembl:lncRNA